ensembl:lincRNA 4921507G05Rik RIKEN cDNA 4921507G05 gene
GCGGUGCAGCCUGCCGCCUCGGUUCGGUCGCUACGCAACCUCUCGCCGCUUUAAAUUUAAGUAUAAUUUCUUACCUAGUGAGUAGGCGACCUUGGUGGGACUGACUCUUCCCAGCUCUCCCGAGAAUGUAACGAUGUUGAACCAGACGAGAACAAUUUCCUUGAGCUUUAACUGCCUGUAACACUAGUUGGAGCCUGUUCUUGACAACACCUACAGUUGAGCAUCAAAGCAGCCUGAUAGCUACUGCUGUGUAAUUUCCCAGAAUUCACAAGCAGGACUUCGGUUUCUCUAUGGAAAAUGUUCUGCCUUCCUGUGACUGUGUGUUCCAGAGCUCUAUGUCAAAAUUUAAAAAUGUGAAGAGGAAGAUAAAAGCUAGAACUCAGUGACUGAGCUCGAUCACCAGCCGCUGCAGAGGGGAGAGGAAGGACAAGCUUAGAGUCAUGGAGCCUUAGUGAAGAAGGCCAGGAGAAUCAACUCAGGCGUCUGGAAAAAGCAAGAGACACAGAGAAAAGGGGGUUGUCACACAUUCCUGCUAUUAGUCCCAGCACUGUGGCUUGGGGCUAUGGGUGGAGGCAGGCCGAUCUCUGCGAGUUCAAGGCCAGCCUGGGUUACAUAGUUCCAGCUACAUAGACUUUGGAAAAUGCUUUUAUCCUUUGCCACUCCAGCUUUCCUGUCAGGUGACUCUUUCCACCAGAUCUUUUGAUACAGAAGCAGGGGGACACCACCACUGCCCCUGCUGCAAACUGUCUUUCUUAAAUCGUAGGCUAUGUGAUAACUUUGGGAUAGACUCACAUUCUGUGAGUCUAUCCCAAAUGUGAUAUCUUUGGGAUAUGUGAGUCUAUCCCAAUGUGAUAACUUUGGGAUAGACUCACAGAAGCACAGGGGGCAUGACAUUGAAUAUUUCACUGGCCAUAAAAGAGGAGUGUGGCCUUCCAAUUGCUUCUAAUUCUCUUCUAGAAUUCCCCAGUUAUUGGUGUGGUGGGGGCAGAGGCAAAAAUGGGGUCACACACGAAAGGAGAUCUCAUCACUUCCCAGGAGUCACCAUGGAUGAUGGACGUCCAAAGUGAGGGAGACAAACCCCUGGGGCUGCCGGGAGAGGGAUCCAGCACAGGAUGGGGAAGGCUGGGAAGAUGAGCUGGGCAGCAGGCAUAGAGAACAGCCAACCCAGACUGUAGCAAGAAGCCCUUGAAGGCAUCUCCGGCUAAGAGCCAACAAACAGACAAAAACAGCACAGCUGCUCUCUGGUCUCGUGCAUUUGACCGUCCAAAAAAAGGAACUCAACGAAAUCCACUCAGGCCAACGACUCUCAUGUAGAAAGCUAAACAACAGAACACAGGGCAACACAAAAAGUUCUACUAGAAGGAAACAUACGGCUGGGGGUGCGCUGAUUUGGUAGUUUAGCUUGUAUGAAGCCCAGGGUUCGAUUCCCCAGCACGGCAUAAAAUUCAGCCUUGCCAGUGAAUGCCUAUACUCCUAACCUCAGGGAGAUGGAAACAAGAGGAGCGGUUCAUUGCCAUGCUCAGCUAUGAGGAUAGCCUGGACUAAAUGAUACUAUAGCUCAAAAACGCGAACAAAUGAAAAAUCAGAAAGUGGGCUAUUUAAAAUGCUGUGUAUAAAGACACAUCCACUCCCUUAAGAAAACUUAAUUUUCUG